CCCGUGCCCUACAGCUCCCAUCACCGUUUCUUCCCCGCUUCUUCUCUUCCCCAACCGACGCGCUGACGCCGCCGUUGCUCGCGACGCCUCCUCUUCUCCCGUGUGUACAAACCGCCGGUCAAGUUCUUCUUCUCCUUGUAUCACGUUUUCCCCUUCUUUCUCGUGCCCUAGUCGUCUCCAAUGUCGGUCGUCUCCCUCUCGCCACUGGCCACUGUUGCCACCGGCGCCGCCCGAUCACCUUGUGUGGGUUGUUGAGAGUGCCUCCAGUCUCCACCUCACUCGUGCCUUAGCCUCUCCAUGCUAGUGGAUUUCCCCUCUCCCUCUGCCAUCCUCGAUCUCAUCUGUCGCCGAGUGUUGUGGUCGCGGGAGAAGGAUUGACGCACGGGGGUUAGGGCUAGCUUUCCCUCUCGCGUGUGGACCCCGAGUGACACCUCUUUCCACCAGAGAGCAGUGCCUCCUUCCUCCGCUCUGUCGUGAGACGUCAUGCCACUGUUGAUUUCGGCGCCAGCCAAGGUGUAGCUGACGGUUGCCACUUUUCCGGCCACAAGAAGAUCCGUAGUUGCGGCAAUGAUAUGAAUUUUGAUGAUCGCAAUAGGCCGGUGGUCCUUGAGGUGGCGAGGGCUGUAGGACAGUUUCACCAGUGGCUAGAAGGAUCGAGAGCUGCUGAUUUAGGAAACAAAAAUCUGAUUAGAUUAGUGAUUUGAGGUAAGGUGUAGAGAAAUUGAUCCUUGCUAUAGCUUACACCUAGAAUUGAAGUUAGGAAGGAUUUGAAAUGGUUAGGAUUGCUAAAUCUAUUUGAUUAUGUGUUAGCGAUUCAUUAUUAGUUGACAUUUCUAGUUGAUUAGUUUAAGGAUAUUUACUAUAAA